UAGACAAAAGGAUAAUAAUGAAGAUUAAGCUGACUAUUAUUGUGGUUUAUUGGCUAAGAUAGAAUGCUAUUUAGAAUCUUUAUAUGUAUGGUUGACUAAUGAUUUUA